UUCGUGUGCGCGUAUCAGAAAGAUUCUCUUAUUUGCAGCAUGUCAGAAGAGAAAUAAAUAUAAAUUGUUUUUAGCAACCAGUGUAUUAUUAUUUUGUUACUCAUAUUUUGUAUUAUCAAAAACCCCGAAAUUUAAAGUCCGUUAGAUAACAUAAACAUGUAUUACAGUAAACCUAUAUUACAAAGUUUCUGAGAAAUCAUUUUUUUAAUAGAAUCCUUA